rnacentral:misc_RNA from 1 species
GAUGAAGAACGUAGCGAAAUGCGAUACUUGGUGUGAAUUGCAGAAUCCCGUGAACCAUCGAGUCUUUGAACGCAAGUUGCGCCCGAAGCCAUUAGGCCGAGGGCACGCCUGCCUGGGCGUCACACGUCGUUGCCCCCCCAUCUACUCCUUCGGGAUUGCGGGGGGCGGAUGAUGGCCUCCCGUGCGCCUCGCCGCGCGGUUGGCAUAAAUGCCAAGUCCUCGGCGACGCACGCCACGACAAUCGGUGGUUGCGAAACCUCGGUUGCCCGUCGUGUGCGGUCGUCGCGCAUCGAGGGCUCGAAAAAAUUGCCGGGUUCCGGCUCGGCUUUCAACGCGACCCCAGGUCAGGCGGGGUUACCCGCUGAAUUUAAGCAUAUCAAUAGCGGAGGA